rnacentral:tRNA from 1 species
UGUAGCUCAGUGGUAAAGCACUUGCCUAGCAAGCAUGAGGCCCGGGGUUUGACUCUCAGCA